rnacentral:rRNA from 1 species
GAUGCACGCUGGCGGCGUGCCUAAUACAUGCAAGUCGAGCGAACAGACGAGAGUGCUUGCCCUCUCUGACGUUAGCGGCGGACGGGUGAGUAACACGUGGGUAACCUACCUAUAAGACUGGGAUAACUUCGGGAAACCGGAGCUAAUACCGGAUAAUAUUUAGCUUCGCAUGAAGCAAUAGUGAAAGACGGUUCUGCUGUCACUUAUAGAUGGACCCGCGGUGUAUUAGCUAGUUGGUGAGGUAACGGCUCACCAAGGCAACGAUACAUAGCCGACCUGAGAGGGUGAUCGGCCACACUGGGACUGAGACACGGCCCAGACUCCUACGGGAGGCAGCAGUAGGGAAUCUUCCGCAAUGGACGAAAGUCUGACGGAGCAAUGCCGCGUGAGUGAAGAAGGUUUUCGGAUCGUAAAACUCUGUUGUAAGGGAAGAACAAGUACGUUAGUAACUGAACGUACCUUGACGGUACCUUACCAGAAAGCCACGGCUAACUACGUG